rnacentral:rRNA from 1 species
UACGAAGGGGGCUAGCGUUGUUCGGAAUUACUGGGCGUAAAGCGCGCGCAGGCGGUUCGAUAAGUUGGGGGUGAAAUCCCCGGGCUCAACCCGGGAAUGGCCUUCAAGACUGUCGAUCUAGAGGACGAGAGAAGUGAGUGGAAUUCCCAGUGUAGAGGUGAAAUUCGUAGAUAUUGGGAAGAACACCAGUGGCGAAGGCGACUUACUGGACACAUAUUGACGCUGAGGCACGAAAGCGUGGGGAGCAAACAGG